rnacentral:lncRNA from 1 species
UGACACAAUUGGGCCCUUGGCCCAGUGGGAGAGGGGGUUGAUCCCCCCAUGACCCUAAGGUCAGGGGUUUAACCCCCAGCGUGUGCAUCCCUUUGUUUUAUUUUAUUUUUUCACUUGUUUUUUUAUUUAUUUUUACCAUUUAUUCGCAUUUUCAUUUUAUUUUUUACCCUCAUUAUUUUAAUCAUUCUUAUAAAAAUUUCAACAUGAACCCUUAUUAUUUUUGUCUUUAGUAUUUAAUUUUUUCUUGAUUCAAAUCAUUUGGAUAUUUUUUGAGGGACUUAUGAAGUCUUGAAUUCAUAGGCUAAUGAAAUAUAC